rnacentral:hammerhead_ribozyme from 1 species
AUUAAGCUGACGAGUCCAAAACGGGAUGAAAUGUGCGUCCUAGAU